rnacentral:lncRNA from 1 species
AUGAUAGUUGAAAUGUUAUUAAAGUUGUAUAUUAAAAAGGAAGAAAUUGUAGAUACCGGUAAUGGUGUUACUUCUUAUAAUACAAGUAAUAAUGCCACUAAGGGUAUUCUUAAUUAUAUUUUAGGUUCAAAAGAAAAGUAUUGUAAUAAAGAAAUAAAUGAAAACAUGAGAAGUGACAAUAUGGAUGAGGAUGGUAACAGUUUGAAUUGUAUAACUGCUGGUACUAAUAUCGGUGGUACUAAUAUCGGUGGUAAUAACAUCGGUGGUACUAAUAUCGGUGGUAAUAAUUUAACAAAAGAUAAUUCCGUGAUAAAUAACUCGGUAAAAAAUAAUAUAUAUCAUUCAUUAUCAUUUACGUAUAUAUUUUUAACCUUUUUUAAAAAGUGUACAAAUAUAAAUAUUUGUGAUUCUAUUUUCCGAGUUAGAAACAGUAAUAUACCUAAAAUGAUUAUAAAAGAAUUAAUAGAAUAUAUAAAAGAUAAUUCCUUAUUAUUUUUAAAUAUGAGUUCACAAACACAUGUACAAAAUGAAAUGAUUAAUGUAUUAAACUUUCUUGAAUAUAUUUCUAAAAACUUAAGUUUUCAUUUACUCUUUUUUUUAAAAGAUUUAGUAGAUAUGCUAGGUAUCGAUAUUUAUUAUAUAAGGAAAUCCAUUUUUGAAAUUUUUAAAAAUUUUAUAAUUUUAGCUAAAGCAUAUGAAGAAAUUAAGGAAAGUAAUAUUACUGACUCAGAUGAUAAUAAAAAUGUAAAAAAGAAAUAUAACCUGAUUAGUUCGGAUGAAGAUAGUGAUGCUGUUAACAUGGGUGAUGGAUGUUAUGAUAGUGACUAUAUCAGUAGCAGAAGCAGUGAUACCACUAGUAGUAGUAGUAGUAGUAGUAGUAGCAGUGAUUUUUUUAGUACAGACGAAUUUGUUGAAGCGAUAGAGGAAGAGAAUGAGAAAAAUGAAGAGAAAAGUGAAGACGAAAAUUUAAACCAUUUACAAGGAAGUGUAAAAGAUAAACAAACAAAAAAAAAUGAAUUAACGAAGAAUAAAAGAAAAAUAAAUAACAAGAAAAAAAAUAAUAAAAAAGAUAGUAAGCAUGUAAAAGAUAAAAAAAAAAAAAUGAACAGUAAUAAAAGCAAAAAAGAGCGUGAAAAGAGGAAAAGGAAAAAAAUGAAAAAUAUUUUAAAUUCUUUUCAAUUAAAUAUAAAUGAAAAUAGUAUUAGUACAACUUAUAAAGAUAUCAUUCAUAAGAUAAUAAUCAAUGAUAUAAAUUUUUUACAAUUAUGUUUUAAGGAAUGUUUAAAAAAUCGUUCUUUUAUUAUGAACGUAUUAAUGUCACGACAAUAUGAUUCGAAAUUACAUGUCCGGUGUCAUUUGUUAAAAAUAUUACAAGAGUUAAUUGAACAUAAUUUUAUUCCUUUAAAUUAUUAUAAUAAUUUAUGUUUACUAAGUAGUGAAAGGAUAAAUGAUAGAUCUCCGCUAGUACGACAAAGAGCUUUUGCUUUACUUUCUUGUAUAUCCAGUGAUGUUGUAAAGAAUAAAUAUGUAAUACCGUUAAACACGAAUAAAAUAAAAAAAGAAUUAAAUUUUUUGAAUAAAAGAAAGUACAUGUUAAAAAGAAAAAACAGAAAACAAAGAAAAAUGAGAGAAGAGAAUAAUAAAGACGCUGAACAAUAUUGUGAGUCCUCGUUGAAUCAUACACAUGAAGAAUCGAAAGUUUUUAAGAAGGAUGAUGAUAAGUACUAUAAAAUUGAUAAUAUAGGAAAUAACAUUAAUAAAGCUAAGAUUAAAAAAAAAGUAGAUAAAAGUAGAAAGAUUAAUUUGUCUAUGAGUGACGACGGGAGUGGCAAUGGGAGUGGUAGUGAUGGUGGUAGUAGUGGUGGUAGUAGUAGUAGUGGUGGUGGUAGUAGUAGUAGUAGAAGUAGUGGUGGUACAGGUAGUGAUAGCGAUGGAGAUGGAGAUGGUGGUGGCAACAACUGUAAAAACAAUAAGAUUACAGAAAGUAGUAAUAAAGACAUGAAUAAUAACAAUUAUGAAAGUAAAUAUGAUUUAUUAAUAAAAAUGUAUAAUGAAGUUUUAUUUAUUUCUAUGAUUGUAGAUACUUGUGUAGAUGUUUGUUUUAAGUUGUUAUAUUCAAUAGUAGAGACUGAUCAAAAAAACUCUGUUAAGUUUAUUAUUUUAGCGCAUAUAUGUGGGAAUAAAAAAGCAGAAGAACAAAUAAAUAAAGUUUGGUCAUUAAUUUUUAGUAACAAUAAUAGUAUUGUUGAAAUGAUUAUAACUGAAUUUAUUAGUUUAAAUAUAAAUAGUGAUAAUUAUAGAAUUAGUGCAUUUCGAUUGAUAAAUAUAAUUUUGAAUAGUAAAUUAAAAGAUGUAUCAUGUAUUGAAAAAAUUAUAGAAUGUUUGUUAAUGCAAGAUAAAACAACUGUAAGUAUAAGUAAGUUAUUAGAUGAAUUAUUUAUAAUUACUUUUGUAGAUACGUUUAGUGAAAAUAAAAAUUUAAUAAUAAAAGAAGGUGCAUUAAUACUUCUUAAAAUUUUAUGUUAUUCUAUUCACAGAGUAAACAAAAAAAAAGGUAAAAAAGAACAAUAUUUUGUUUUUAGUAAUAAAAGAAAACAUUAUAUAAUUUUAUUUAUAAAUGAAUAUAAACAUAAUUUACAUUUUUUAAAUUUGUUAAUUUUGAUUUUGAAAUAUAACAAAACUAAUAAAAUUAUUCAAAGUUUAUUAAUUAUUUUGUUUAAUUUGAUUUUUGAUAAUAUAUCUUGUUAUGAUAAAAAUGAGCAUGGAAAGGAGUAUGGAACGGAGUAUAGAUAUGAGUAUGGGAGAAAAGAUGAUGAAAAUGGAUGGAAUAAUUCGAACCUUUUAACUGGUAAUAAUAUGAAUCAAGAUAAAGGUAGUAUAAAAAAUGGUGAUAAUGGAAGAGAUAAAUUAAAUGAUUGUUUUAGUAAUGAAAAUAAUAAUUGUAAUAAAAAAGAAAAAGAAAUAUAUUUAAAUUGUAAUUAUUUAAAAGAUAAAAAUAAUAUAUGGUUUAUAUGUUGUCAGUCGAUAGUCGAAAGUAUGUAUGAACAUUUUGAUGAUUUUUUAUUAAUUUUUACAACAAAAAUAAAAAAUAUAUUAAACAGUUUAUUUAAAGAGAAAAAUAAUAAUUUGCAUAUAAAUAUCGAAGUGAAUAGAACCGAUGAUCAAUUAAAAAAAAAACAUAACAAAACAGAAUGA